UGCAAAGACUCCUUCCGAAUGCCCAAAAGAAUUGCCUCAACGUCAAAGCCAAUGUGUACAGGCACUCACUAAACUCCAGAAUCCACAAUUCUCAUAGCCAAACACACCUCUAUCUCGCUCUCUCUCAUUCUUUUGUAUCCUAAAAGAAAAAACCUAAUAAACCAUUGAUCACCACCAUCCCUCUUCUUCUUCUUCUUCUUUUCUUCUUCUUCUUCUCUCUACACCAUUUCAAUAUUUUAAUGCUUCAAUAUUCUAUUGAUUCGCCGACAAGUCGCCAUUUUCCCAGGAAUUGAUUGAAAGUAUUUCCCUCUUAGGGUUUUGAUAAUCUGACCCCCACCCCUCACCUCUCAUUUCUGUCACUAAUUUGGUCCCUUUAGGGUUUUCUAAUCUUUGAUUUCUAGGGUGCUAUCUUUUUUUCUUUUUGUUUAUAUUGUCCUUCUUCUUUUAAUAGAUUCAUUCAUUGCUUUAAUACCACAACAAUCUAGCAAACCGGAUACUUCUAAAAAUUUUUGGAAAUUGAAGUGCCUUUUUUGUUUUUGAAUUUUCUUACUUGUUAUAUUUGUUUGACCAAACCCCAAAUUUUUUUUUAAGAAAUUACCUUACUUGCCAUUUGAAUACUGAAAAGAUUUUAAGCAAUUUGAGGCUUUGUUAAUUGCAAAAAUUCCUUCUUCAGGAACAGAUUCACCUGACUAAUGAACUAGUUAAUUUCUUCUUUUUUUUCCUGUUGUUGUAUUGUAACCUUUCUCUUUUUAAUGCAUCUGUGCUAUUCUUUUACGGGGUGAGAUUUUGGUUUUGGGUAUUAGUAAUUUGCAUAAAAAGCAAUAGAAAAGAAGCAGAAGGGACCUAAAGAUUGCAUGGGCGAGCAUGAGAGAGUAUUGCCAAAUGGCCUAUUGCCUAAUGAAGCAGCCUCUGUGAUCAGAGUGCUUGACUCAGAGCGAUGGGCAAAGGCUGAAGAGCGAACUGCCGAGCUUAUUGACUGCAUUAAGCCCAAUGAGCCCUCCGAAAGGCGUAGAAAUGCUGUUGCUGAUUAUGUGGAGCGGCUUAUUACAAAAUGUUUUCCUUGCCGGGUGUUUACUUUUGGGUCUGUACCGCUCAAGACUUAUUUGCCAGAUGGAGACAUCGACUUAACAGCCUUCAGUGAGGGUCAAUCUAUGAAAGAGACCUGGGCUCAUCAGGUUCGUGAUGUGCUGGAGAAUGAAGAGAAGAACGAGAAUGCUGAAUUCCGUGUGAAAGAGGUUCAGUACAUUCAGGCAGAAGUGAAGAUAAUAAAGUGUCUUGUGGAAAAUAUUGUGGUGGACAUAUCUUUCGAUCAGCUUGGUGGGCUAUGUACCCUUUGUUUCCUUGAGGAGGUUGAUCAUUUGAUAAAUCAAGACCAUUUAUUCAAGAAGAGCAUUAUAUUGAUAAAGGCAUGGUGUUAUUAUGAGAGCCGUAUCUUGGGUGCUCACCAUGGGUUGAUUUCCACUUAUGCUCUGGAAACCUUAGUUCUCUAUAUAUUUCAUGUUUUCAACAAUUCAUUUGCUGGACCCCUUGAGGUCCUAUAUCGUUUUCUCGAGUUCUUCAGUAAGUUUGAUUGGGACAAUUUUUGUGUUAGCCUCUGGGGUCCUGUGCCCAUUAGUUCACUACCAGAUGUAACAGCGGAACCUCCUCGAAAGGACGGUGGAGAGUUACUGCUUAGCAAGUUAUUUCUCAAAGCCUGCGGCGCAGUAUAUGCUGUUUCUCCUGGUGGCCCAGAAAGUCAAGGACAAACUUUCACAUCCAAACACUUCAAUGUCAUUGAUCCUUUGCGUGUAAACAACAACCUUGGUCGUAGUGUGAGUAAAGGCAACUUCUUUAGGAUACGUAGUGCAUUUGCAUUUGGUGCUAAAAGGCUGGCAAGGUUACUUGAUUGCCCAAAAGAAGACAUACAUUUUGAAGUAAAUCAAUUCUUUAUGAACACCUGGGAUAGACAUGGUAGUGGACUGCGUCCUGAUGCUCCAAAGAAUGAUUUAUGGCGCUUGAGAUUGCCAGCUCCUGAUGUAUCACAUGGAUCUGAUCAUCACAAUAGCAAUUCAAACAGCAAAACUUCUGCUCGUGAAGCUCAAGUUGAUGUGGCUCCUGGUGCACGUACAGUUCCCUCUCAAUCUGGUAAUUCCCUCUUAGAAAGCUCAUCGAGAAGUAGUGAAGUUGCUGCAGUUUCUCAUAGUCAAAGCCAAAAGACUUAUGUUAACCCUAAUAAUACAAGGACGUCUGAUCAACCUAGAAGGGAAAAAAGCAGUUCCAAUUAUGGCUCGCAUGCUGAGAAAAAUCUAAGAAUAUCUAAACCUGAUAACUUGGUCAGUGACCUCCAGGGAAGGUAUCCUUUGGCAAGAACGCGUUCUAGUCCCGCACUUACAGAGACAUAUGGUGAAGUUCCAUUUCAGGGUAGGCGUAACAGAGCCCAAGAAACUGGAAAAGGCCAGACCUCAUCUGCUAGGUUGGAUAACAACCGGAGGAAAAAUGUGGAAUCUGAUACCUUGGGAAGCCAUGGUCUUAGAUCUUCAACUGAUGAUCCUUCAUCCAUUAGACAUAUCUCAUCCCGUCAAAACCCUGGUACAACUGCUGCUGAUACAAACAGUGUUUCAAACAGUUACCAUGAUGAUUCUGGCAUGGUUGGUACUGGUGAAGAAUUUGCUUCUGUCCUUGGGGCACAGCACAUGCAUCAGGAAGAUCAAGAUUUUGUGAACAUGAUAGCAUCUUCUGCAGGUCUUGGUUUUAAUGGACAAGUUCACCUUCCGCCAAAUUUAGCAUCAAAUCACAUACCUUUUCCAAUCUCACCUUCUGUUCUAGCAUCAAUGGAAUAUGCGCCCCAGAGAAAUUUGGGUGGAAUGCUACCUGCAAAUAUACCAUUGAUGGACAACCCAUGGGGCACAAAUAUGCACUUUCCUCAUUAUUUUCCUGGCAUAGGGUUGACCUCCAAUACAGAAGAUUCUGUUGAACCUCGGAAUGAGCAUUUUGGUUCCUUGGAUAUGAAUGCCAUUGAGGCUGAUCGUGAUUUCUGGCAUGAGCCAGAGAGGAGCUCCCCCAGUGGGAUUGAUCUUGACAAUGGAAGCUUUGAAAUGCAUCAAUCGGAUGAUAAGCAGCAAUCUACUUCAGCUAGUUAUAACUUCGCUCCUUCAUCCCUAAUAAGUGGCUCUGCUAGCUCUUUGAGAGUUCAACAGAAGUUCUCCAAAGAAUCUCGAGGGUCAGUGAGGGAAGAUCAUCUAGAUGCUUUCCCUUAUCAAGAAAGCAGAGGCACUGAAGUUUCCUUUGAUGACAGAGUUGCGGGUUCAAGGUCCUUUCCUACUGUGAAUACUAGCUCUCUGAGAAGUAAAACCUCUUCUGAGAGUUCGUGGGAGGGAUCACCUGCAAAGGCAUCAAAAUCAACAAGGGAAAAGAGAAAUAGGAAAACAGCUUCUUCUACAGUUCCAUCUGCUGUUUAUGGUAAAGGUAAGAAUGUUUCUGAACAUUCCUCCAACCAGGGAGAUGAUGAAACUAAAGAAUGGAAUCCACCGUCCACUAUCAGCCCUGAAAUAAUAGAAAGAAGCAUAGGACUUCAAUCUGCUUCUGCUGUGCAUGUUCCAAGGCAUCAGAUUCCUGGAUUUGAAACAGCACAGACGAGUGGAUCUGAGUCAUUGCUCUCUAUGGCUCCUGUGCUCUUGGGACCUGGUUCAAGGCAAAGAACUACAGAUAGUUCAGGGCUUGUUCCAUUUGCAUUUUAUCCCACAGGGCCACCAGUUCCAUUUGUUACAAUGCUUCCAGUUUACAACUUUCCUUCUGAGGCAGGAACUUCUGAGGCAUCAACAAGUCAAUUCAGUGUUGAGGAGGGCGCAGAUAACAGCGAUUCUGGUCAGAACUUUGAUUCAUCGGAUGGAAUUGAUCAAUCUGAGGUUUUAAGUACUAAUUCUAUGAUAAGGACUGCUUCUAUUGAGCCAUUGGAGCACAAAACCGACAUUCUAAAUAGUGAUUUUGCUAGCCACUGGCAGAAUUUGCAAUAUGGGCGCUUUUGCCAAAACUCCCGGUUCAAUUCGCCAAUGGUUUGUCCUUCACCUCUUAUGGUGCCACCGGUAUAUUUACAAGGUCGUAUCCCAUGGGAUGGUCCUGGAAGACCUCUGUUAACCAAUAUGAAUAUUUUCUCUCAGCUUGUGAAUUAUGGACCUCGUCUCGUUCCUGUGGCUCCUCUACAGUCUGUCUCUAAUCGACCUGCUGGUGUUUACCAACAUUAUGUUGAUGAAAUACCAAGAUAUCGCAGUGGGACAGGGACCUACCUGCCAAGUCCUAAGGUUUCUAUUCGUGACCGACAUACUUCAAAUACUAGAAAGGGAAAUUACAGUUAUGAUAGAAAUGACCACCAUGGCGAUAGGGAAGGGAACUGGCAUGUGAAUCCAAAGCCUCGAGCCGCUGGGCGACCAAGCCGUGGUCAAGCUGAGAAGUUAAGUUCAAGGCUUGACCGCUUGGCUGCAAAUGAAAGCCGUACUGAUAGAACAUGGGGCUCUCAUAAUAGACAUGAUACAUUCUCUUCAUACCAGUCUCAAAAUGGUCCAAACCGUCAGAACUCACAGAGUGGUUCUACUAUGGCAUAUGGCAUGUAUCCAGUAAAUCCUGGGGGAGUUUCUUCAAAUGGGCCUAACUUUCCACCCGUUCUCAUGUUGUAUCCUUAUGAUCAGAGUGCUGGUUUUGGCAAUCCUGCAGAACAACUUGAGUUUGGAUCUCUAGGGCCAGUGGGUUUCUCAGGUGUAAAUGAGCUGUCACAUUCAAAUGAAGGAAGUCGAUCGAGUGGGGGAUUUGAGGACCAAAGAUUUCAUGGAAGCUCUGGCCAACGGUCUUCACCGGAUCAACCUUCUUCACCUCAUUUCCAGAGGUAGUCAUCAUUCUGUCUGUUAAGUGCAAGGUUUCGGUGGGCCUGAGCCAGGUUGCUUUGUGGAUAAGUGGCAGUACUUAGAAUAUAAUACUUAAGAGAUCGGCAGGCUAAAGGAAUUAUACAGUGAAGGACGACGAUUUCCCACCUCUUGUAUCUCUGAACCAUCCACUCUAUGAUGAUUGAUACUAUGAUGAGAAACCCUCCAGUACCAGGCCAUUGUGAUCUCCACCCAAUUUAUGA